CCUUUGAUUUUCGUUCUCUCCCCUUGCCUGAACUCAUACCCAAAUCCUCCCCCAAAUUUUCCUAUUCGCCCUAGUUGCUCACCAUCGACACCACUGCUGUUGAUGCGCUCAGCAACAAGUUCAGUAAAAUUUCCUCCCCUUUCGUAAAUUUUCCCGCGGUGAAAUCUUCCCUCAAAAUUUUGCCUGACCGUGCACUCCAACCACCCCCGCCACCGCUGCUGCAGCUCUCACCCAGCAAUAUGACGCACUCAUAUACCUCAUUCGUAAAUCCGAAAGAGCUUUGUUCAUGUCACUUCAUGGUUAAAAUUUGGAUUUCACGUACCAAACGCAAUCUUGGGAGAAAAAUUUUCGGAUGUCCGAAUUGAGGUACACAAGAUGAUUGUAAUUAUUUCAAGUAGGAAAACGAUCAUGUAGAGAUAUUAAACUUAGUAAACAAAGUGAAAGAAUUGGAGAAGAAAUUGAAUAAAUCGAAGAAAGAAGUGAAUGAAUUGAAGAAAUAAAUGAAGAAGAAAGUGAACGAAUCUAGUGGUGUCGAGAAGGAAGUGAAGCUCCAAGGAAAAUUGUUAAUAUUGUGGGUGGUUAUUUUUAUUGUUGUUCGAAUGUGGUUUUAAUGUUAUGUAGCUUAUGUGUAUAUGUAGCUUCUUUAAGCUUGUCUUUGGCUUAGUUUAUAAAUUGAGAGAUCGCAGUUCUCUA